rnacentral:tRNA from 1 species
GUCCCCUUAGCGCAGUGGAUAGCGCGUUGGACUUCUAAUUCAAACUGGAAGCAAUCCAAAGGUCGCGAGUUCGAUCCUCGCAGGGGAUG